UGGUGAGGUAACGGCUCACCAUGGCGAUGAUGUCUAGGGGUUCUGAGAGGAAGGCCCCCCACACUGGGACUGAGACACGGCCCAGACUCCUACGGGAGGCAGCAGUGAGGAAUAUUGGACAAUGGAUGGAAAUCUGAUCCAGCCAUGCCGCGUGCAGGAAGACGGCCCUAUGGGUUGUAAACUGCUUUUCUACGUGAGCAAUAAGGUCUACGAGUAGACUGGUGAGAGUAGCGUAGGAAUAAGCAUCGGCUAACUCCGUGCCAGCAGCCGCGGUAAUACGGAGGAUGCGAGCGUUAUCCGGAUUUAUUGGGUUUAAAGGGUGCGUAGGCGGCUUUUUAAGUCAGCGGUGAAAUUUUGCAGCUUAACUGUAACAGUGCCGUUGAUACUGAGGAGCUAGGAUUUGGUUGCUGUGGGUGGAAUGUGUGGUGUAGCGGUGAAAUGCUUAGAGAUCACACAGAAUAUCGAUUGCGAAGGCGGCUCACAAAGCCAAGAUUGACGCUGAGGCACGAAAGUGUGGGGAUCAAACAGGAUUAGAUACCCUGGUAGUCCACACUGUAAACGAUGAUAACUCGCUGUCGGCGAUACACAGUCGGUGGCCAGCGAAAGCGAUAAGUUAUCCACCUGGGAGUACGACCGCAAGGUUGAAACUCAAAGGAUUGACGGGGGCCCUGCACAAGCGGAGGAACAUGUGGUUUAAUUUCGAUGAUACGCGAGGAACCUUUACCCGGGCUCGAACGGUGCAGGUAUAUGGUAGAGAUAUCAUAGCUAGCAAUAGUCUGGUAUCGAGGUGCUGCAUGAUUGUCGUC
rnacentral:rRNA from 1 species